rnacentral:rRNA from 1 species
AAUCAACGCUGGCGGCGUGCCUCAGACAUGCAAGUCGAACGCGAAAGUUCCCUUCGGGGGAUGAGUAGAGUGGCGCACGGGUGAGUAACACGUAGGUAAUCUACCUUCGGAUGGGGAAUAACAACCGGAAACGGUUGCUAAUACCGCAUAAUGCAGCGGCACCUAAUGGUGACAGUUGUUAAAGCGGGGGAGUCGAAAGACCUCGCGUCUGAAGAGGAGCCUGCGGCGGAUUAGCUAGUUGGUAGGGCAACGGCCUACCAAGGCUACGAUCCGUAGCCGGCCUGAGAGGGCGGUCGGCCACACUGACACUGACAUACGGGUCAGACUCCUACGGGAGGCAGCAGU